rnacentral:rRNA from 1 species
CCUACGGGUGGCAGCAGUGGGGAAUAUUGGACAAUGGGCGCAAGCCUGAUCCAGCAAUGCCGCGUGUGUGAAGAAGGCCUGCGGGUUGUAAAGCACUUUAAGCAGGAAAGAAGGGGCGGGAGUUAAUACCUUUCGUCAUUGACGUUACCUGCAGAAUAAGCACCGGCUAACUCCGUGCCAGCAGCCGCGGUAAUACGGAGGGUGCGAGCGUUAAUCGGAAUUACUGGGCGUAAAGCGCGCGUAGGCGGUUUGGUAAGUCUGUCGUGAAAGCCCUGGGCUUAACCUGGGAACUGCGGUGGAUACUGUCAGGCUAGAGUGUGGUAGAGGGGAGUGGAAUUUCCGGUGUAGCAGUGAAAUGCGUAGAGAUCGGAAGGAACACCAGUGGCGAAGGCGGCUCCCUGGACCAACACUGACGCUGAGGUGCGAAAGCGUGGGGAGCAAACAGGAUUAGAUACCCUAGUAGUCC